UGAGGAAUAUUGCACAAUGGGCGGAAGCCUGAUGCAGCAACGCCGCGUGCGGGACGAAGGCCUUCGGGUCGUGAACCGCUUUUCUGGGGAAAGAGCAAGGACGGUACCACAGGAAUAAGUCUCGGCUAACUACGUGCCAGCAGCCGCGGUAAAACGUAGGAGGCGAGCGUUAUCCGGAUUUACUGGGCGUAAAGCGCACGCAGGCGGCUCUGUGAGUCGGACGUGAAAGCUCCCGGCUUAACCGGGAGAGGCCGUUCGAUACUGCGGGGCUUGAGGUAGGGAGAGGAAUGCGGAAUUCCCGGUGUAGUGGUGGAAUGCGUAGAUAUCGGGAGGAACACCUGUGGCGAAAGCGGCAUUCUGGCCCUCACCUGACGCUGAGGUGCGAAAGCGUGGGUAGCAAACAG
rnacentral:rRNA from 1 species